rnacentral:lncRNA from 1 species
GGGCAUGUGAUGAGGAGGGGCAUGGAUGUCCUAGUUAGUAGGUGUGAGAGGCUAGCUCUAAAUGAUUUUAGGAGGUGCAGAGGUAGGCCAAAAAAAUACUGGAGAGAGGUGAUUAGACAUGACUUGGAGUAGUUACAGCUUACUGAGUACAUGAACCUAGAUAGGAAGGUGUGGAGACCAUGGAUAAGGGUAGAAGUCUAGUGUGUGGGUGAGUCGUUGCAAGUAGUUAGGAGAACUUUGGUGUAUCCGGGUUAGUAGUUUUAGGACUGUA